CUCAGUUGGCGCUCGCUCUGCGCUCUGCCCGUCAGCACUCAGCUGUUGCUGCUGCUGCCUGGCCUUUUCCUGCUGCCUGCUCUGGAGCACCAAUCCCAGCAGGAUGAGCACUGCUGCGCCAGUGGAGACUAACAGAGACACUGUGGUGGCGAUGGAAGUGGACAUGGUGCUGAAUGAGGAAGAGAUGAUGGAGGUGGACGUGGAAGACCAGGUUGAGGAGAUGGAAGUUGAUGAGGAGGAUGACAUCGAGGCGAUGGAAGUGGAUGAGAAGGAUGAGGAGGAGCCCAUGGUCCUUGGAUGAAGAUGGAGCCCCACAAGACUGAUGCAGAUGAUGGCUGUAGAUAUUACGGCGGUGUAUAUAUGUUUGAAAAGUUAGGAUAUUUUUGUAAAUAUGUUCUUAGGUUAGUAGUUCUUUGUAAAUAUGUUUUGAAG